GGAACCUCUGAUGUCGCUAAUAGCUUGGUAACUGGAGUGUUUUAAUGGCUGGAACCAAUGACAUAGUAUCCACUAGUAUAUGCAACUUUUUACGUUCUAUUUUGUUUGAAACUUACCAUAAAUACAGCUUUAUUUUAAAAAAGGGGGACAAUAAAAACGUCACAUUCAUCGAGGAAAGACACGGCCACAUUUGUUUUUUUCUUUCUUUUUUUUUGUACCAGAAUGUGUGCGUAUUAAAUCGUCAGGCACCGGAGCUGUGCAGGCGUCAGGUCUUUCAAAACAAAAUUGACUUUGAAUUGUGGUAACACUGUUACCUAUAGUACGAAGAAUGGCACCGGUUCAGUUGGAGAAAGUUAUUGACGAUGUGUUAAAAAGUGGCAAUGUUCAAGAACUGGAUAUAUUUUUGCAAAGAGACGUGGAUCAAGGGACUUCAUUUAAAUGCUCUCAACAGUUUCUUAACAAGUUAGAUAAACUUGUUCAGAAGUAUCUUGAUCACAAAGAUGCCAGAACUGCCAGUCUGGGCUUUAUGAUCAUCUACAAAUAUGGGUCAAACCUAAAACUUCCAGGCAAAGGACAAGGGCUAUCAGGAAUGAUAAUGCAUGGACUGGUCGAUAAGAUGAUGCAAUGGUUUGAGAAAUGCAGGCAUCUGUGGAUCCAGUGUGGUCCACAGUGGCAUGAGACCAUGUUCAGCCUUUCUGAGGAUUUCUUUGAUACCCUAAUGGUUCUUCAUGAAGCAUGCAAAGAUGGAUCAUACAAAGUCACAGAGUCCUUCUUGUAUCCAGUUGGUCAGAUGGCAGUAGACCCCAGAAUCUACAUUUUAAUUAGAAAGGAGGCUGUGCGCAAAUUCAACCUCAUUCUGGAUAAAAUCCCAAUGGAACUUAAAAAAGACAGGAAGAUUCUAAUGUCAGAAGAGGCCUCAGAUAUCAUGAUCAAAAUGGCUUGUCAAAUAUCAGAGGGUGGUGAUUACGACUAUCAGACAGCCAUGACUGAGGCGUUGUGCAGAAUGACCACUGCUGAGCAACGGAAGGAUCUGGCCAGUCACUGGUUCACAAUGGAGCACAUGGUCUCUGCCUUUGCUCAAAUUCAAGAUUCUGAGUUUGAGACGGACUGUCGGAGGUUUCUCAACAUGGUGAAUGGAAUGCAGGGAGACAAGGCAAGGGUGUACUCUUACCCCUGCUUGGAAGUGUAUCUUGACAAGUAUGAGCUCCUGAUGCCUGCUGAUGAAAAGUUGGAGGAGUUCUGGAUUGACUUCAAUCUCGGGAGCAGCAGCAUCUCAUUUUAUUUCUCUCUCUCUAAUAAGAAGGGACAGGAAACCCCGUGGGAAACCAUUUGUAUCAGUGACAAUGAAGUCCAAAGCUAUACUGUUACAGAGGAGCCCCAAAAGACAGUGUUUCAUUUGAAACUGUCGGAGAUUGUGGUUGUGGACACAGUUGAAGGAUCAAGUCUAACCAUCUACUUCAGCUCCAACCUCGACAUCCUGCAGGCUGCUCGUAAGGUCUAUGGAGAGAGCAAAAACAAUGCCUUUGUAAAAAAGGCAGGUACAUCUGUGGUGAAGACUACCAUUAAAAUCACAAUGGAAGAAAAUAGCUCCCAGGUUGUUCCUGAGAGUCAGAUGUCCCUUGAUGAGAAAAAUACAGCUUCACAAAUUUUAUUUACCUCAGAAGCACCUGUACAGACUCCUGCUACAAUGAGGAUGUCAGAGUCCACAAGCUUCAUCAGCCAAACAGGGAGAAGUGUAUGCAGGGGCAGCAACAUCUCUGCUGCUAUUGCAUCAAACAAACCAGCUACAGGGAAACUAUCUCUAGUUUCAACUUCACACAGCAGCGCAAGAUCAGAGGACAUGAUGAAGCAGGAGGCUAGUGAUAUGUAUCAUAGUAUGGUUCCAAAAAACCUUUCAGAGAAUAAGAGAAAAGCAGGACCUGCGGUUCCAGUGGCUCAGACAGGUCAAACUCAAGAAGAUAAUGUUGUGCCUGACACCCAGCCUGGACCGUCCAAAAGCAUAUCAUCAAACUGGAACAAAAUGUCAGUUUCCCAAAUCCUAAUAAUGCCCACACAGAGAAUAAAUCGACCUAAGCCCAGUUUAAGUUUAGGAAAACAACAGGGGAAUCUGUCCUCAGCCAUGAGGUCAUCAGUUCCACGCUCUGGCCCAAUAGGCCAAAAGGAGCUCCAUGCCAAAGUCACAGAGCGCUUACAAGAGGUUCUCCUUGAACAAAAUCAAGCUCCCGCACUUCAAGAAUUGACUAGACCCCAGAGAAAAAAGGCUGAUGUCAGAGAGGACUCUUCAGACCAACGCUCCUCCACUUUCUCUGAUCCUAAAGAACCUCAGAGCAGGGGGAAGACAAAAAGCCAAGCGAUGGUGAAAGCAGGUGCUGCUCCAAACAAAGCUCCAGCCAAAGCCAUUGAAAUGAAAACACAACAAGAGAAGAGUAAAAGUAAUACUGUCCUGUCUGUCAAAGAGAAGAACGAUGCGGAGGUUACAGAAAAAUUAGUGGAACGGAUUUCAAGCCACUACAAGAUAAAAACAAACUAUAAAGUAAAGAAGACAGGAAAUGUCCAUCCACAUUGGAUUCAUUCUGUCAACAGACCGAUUUUCAACAUGAGCUGGUUACCAAACACUAACAAAAAUGUUUCUGGAGCUUCUGGAGUGAGUGUUGAAAAGUGUCACGAUAAAACAUCAGACACGUCUUUCAGAAAUGAUGUUUUUGCAUUUGGUAUUGAUGCACCAUUACAGACUGAGGAAAGAAAACAAAUAUUGGCCAACACUCACAAAUCAAGCAGCAGUUUCAAUGAUUCCUCCAUAUUUCACAGCACAACCAAGAAAGGGCUGCCUGUGACAAAGGAAAAGAGGAAUGUGAAAAAGCAUUUGUUUAGUGACACAGAUACAGAUUACACCAUUACAGAUGUAAGCUGGCUGAGAAACUCAAGCCAAAAGUCCAAACCCAAAGUUACGAAAUAUUCAAGGCAAGCGCCGGUCAAUCCCAAAUCUACGUCACCACACACAUAUAAAUCUUCAGAUUUUCCCCGCCUCUCUACGAAACCAGUGAAUACAACACCGAACAAUCAGAGAAAAUAUAAUGAACGGGGGAGCGUGAAGCCAGCAGCGGAAUUCAGCAAACGUGUCGCAAAUGGGAGACCCAAGAGAGUUGCAGCCACUGCAACCAAAAGUUACAGAGAGCCCGACACUGAUGACAGCCUGUCAGAGUCAGGGAGGUCUUCAGUUUCUCAGCUCAGCUCAUCUGGUAACAGAAACCUUUACCAAGCGGAGGGUCACAUGAAGAAAAAGUCUGCCAGCAAGUAUCAAACAAAAAGUUACAGAAAGGUAGCAGAAAAAAGUCCACAUGGUGACUCAGUGUCAGAGCAGCCAACUGCUUGUAAGACAGACAGAGGAGCUCUUCAGGAAACUCCAGUGUGUAGUAGGAAGUUAAUUGUCCCUGUCCAAGAACAAAGAAGACCGGUGAAAAGUCCCUCAACCUCAGUCUGUCUGUCAUCUCCUCACAUUGAGACAAAGAGAUCUGCUGAGAAGUCAACCUCCAACUUGGGUAUGACCUCCUUCUCUCAACUCAACCCCCGAGAGUCUCCACUUCCUACCUCCCCUGACCUCGCCUUCCAAGACACCCCCUCUCCAGUCCCGCUGCUUCCCAACGUCAGCUCUGCAGUCAGCUGUCGAGGAAUACACAGGCUCCCUUCAAACUUCAGUGCAGAAGAAAAUCCCUUCAGCUCCAAGACUCAGUCUCUCAAGUCGGCCACCUCCCUUACUUCACUGAGACAUCAGAGCCCUGCACCCGACGCCUCUUCAUGUCCAGCCGAAGUAACAGAACUUUUUGAUAAUCAUCUGUCUCCAGUGCCACUGUCUCCUUUGUCGCUGCCCUCUCAGCCUCUGCUGACGUCCACUUUCCUCGAGCUAGAGAAGUCAUUCACACCUUUUCCCCUUGAAACACCAUUUCCAGAAGACAUAGAUGAUCAUGUAGGCCCCGGUAAAGUGUCAGCAGCAUCUGAUGUGUCACUGCCAUCUUCAAAGUCACUUAAGAAGAGGAGAAAAGUUACAGACAGAACCAGUCCUUCUAUAAAGGGUUUUAAUAACAGAGAGGAAACACCAUUUUCACACCAAGAUCAAAAACCUACCUGGAUUACUGUCUCAGGGCCAAGUCGUAAGCGCCAAAUGUUGACAAAUGUAAAUUCUGAAGGAGAUAAGAAGAACAAGAACAAAAGGCGCAAAAUUAGAGACCAAUCUUCUCCACAGAUUAAACCAAGAAAGUUAUUGAAAUCCUUCAUUGAGGCGUCGGCUGUUGAUGAGGAGAAGCAGGUUACAUCUUCUUUACACAACCUCAGCUCCAGCCACUGGGAGGCUGAUGUAGGAGAAUGUACCGUCGACAUGGAGGAUGAGAAUUUGGAGUUGGCUGAAAUUCCUAUCAUUCCAAAAAGCCUGUACCAACCGUUCAACUUUGAUCUGAAGAAAAAGUCACAGAGCCGUAACAACAUGAUGGACAUUUACACGAAGUUGUCUUCAAGGACUGUGAAGCAACAUGUUUCCUCUUUCAAUAUGCAGGUCACGAAUAAGAGAACUCAUAACCUGGAGCACACACAACAGCUCCUCAUGGAGGAAAUCCACAAAUUGGAGGAAAAUGACACGGUGCUGACCAGCAUGGAGAAAGAUCUGAACAUCUACUGGAAAAAACAGAUGGUGGCUUUCCAUUCUUUCGUCGAGCAGGAAACCUUGAGAAGCAAGACACUGAAGAAUACACUCCAGAACCACUUUUCUCACAGCUUGGAGCAUGAGCAGAGAAUAUUCUCGUCUCAGAUGUGCCUCAUUAAAAAAGACAUGAAGUCACUUCAGGACAAAGUUUUGGCUGAGAUGACGGUCUACGAAUGGAGGAGGAGGGCAGUGCGUAUUCUUAGCUGCCGCACAGACAGACAGACCAAAGAUUCUUUUUCUCUGAAGUGUGGGAGGCACACCGGCUUCUUGGAUCCAGACUGAUGGGUAAUGAAGGGAGGUGGAUCUACUUACUUGGCAAGUUUCAUUUCAAUUUGCUGGCGGAUUUCCUGGCGUUCCUGGUCACUCCUGACUGGAAAGAUGUUCCUGUCUUCCAACUCUUGCUUGAGAUGACAGAAUCAUUCCAGCCAUCCAGGUCCGUGGGGAGGCCUGAGGUGUUGGAGAAGCACUGGUCCAGCCGUACGUUCUCCUUGUUCUCCUCUGCCUCCUUUUUGGGCCAGUCAGAGCUGCCACCUGCCGCACAGCCGCCCACCAUAGAGAGUGUGUGCUGGUUCUCAGAGCUACAAGAGCGAGAGAGACGCCCAUCUAAGCACCACAAUCGUGGGGGUGAGCCCUGCUCACACCCUUCGUGGACACUGAGGAGAAAGAGAAAGAUUUGAUACUGACGUCUGUGACGAAUAGAAACCAAUCAACACCUGGGGUUCAGAUGGUCAGCUCACCUCUCCUGUCUGUUCUUGGAAGCAAACGCUCUCUGCAGUUCCUCCAUGAUGCAGCUAGGGGGCAUGGGAGGAUGGAUCAUAUUGCCUAGGUGUGGGGAACCUGAGUUGGCCAGUGGCACUCGUAGUGGCAGGGUCAUGGAAGCCAUGCUUUCUGUGGCCCUGGGUGGAGGCUCCUUUGGGAGGUAGGAGUUGGGCAGGUGACUUGGUAGAGACACAGGCCCUGAAUCUGCCCACAAAGACACCAUUUAAAAAUAACAGGUUGUACCUUUAAUUUCCAUUCUUUAAUAUCAGUGCUCUUCCUAAUCAUUUUUCGAAUUAAUGGAUUUUUCCCAAAACUUGACAGCGCUCACCGUCUACGUUGGAUGGAAGCUUCUGAGGCAGAAGUUUUGGAGGUACUUGCGGCGGAGACGUUCCAGGAGGGAUCUCCUCCGAUGUUCUAUCUUCUACUUGGUCUACGUCCUGCAGUCCGUCAGGGCUUGAAGAUACGCCCCAGGGUGGCCAGCUUGCUGUUCCGUCUGAUGGGAGGAGUGUGGACCCCGGACACUAGACAACCUGUCCUUAGCACCCUCUGCUGGUCGACCAACUCUGCUGCAGAUACAGAGGAAAGAACGCGUAUUACAGUAGAAGGAGCUGACACCACAGCGUCUUGGAUCUUCACUCCAGCCUCCUCCUCCUCCUCCCAGUCCAGGCCACUGACGACGUGCCCUUGAAUGGACCACCCUCUUAUCUACUGCUACACCAGCUGACCUCCUCUCUUUACCCCCCCCCGCCCUUGCAACUGUGCUGCCAUCUGUCUGUAGCCCUGCUGCCUCAGGGACCUGGACACAAUCAGGGUACGCAGCUAAGAACUUUGCAUGGAGACAGUGAGCAGGGGGAAUUACAGCAGUGUGGAAAGAGAAAGGAGCGAGAAUGUGAAAUGGGGAAAAAACAGUUGUAGUCAGACUUUCAUUUCCAAAACAGAGGCAAAAACAAAAAAAAAAAGCUUUAAAUGAGACUUAAAAAAUAUUAAUUUAUAAAUACUAGUUAAAUACAGAUUUUAUCUAUCAAAUGUAUCAUGUCAUGAGAAACAUUUAACAAUUAAUUCAGCCAAAAUAUCACCAUUAUUUCCCUCUUUGUCCUUUAUUUACAGGGAAAACAAUUUGUUUCUCCAAAGCUCGACCAUUCACACAGAUGUAAACAACAGAAACAUAACAAACUGUUUACCCUACUUAAUAGUUCAGAGCAGCACUAAUCAA